rnacentral:lncRNA from 1 species
UUCUCAACUUCAUAUUUUGGCUUCCACAGGGUAUCUCUGUAUGAACUGGCAACUUUCUCAUCUUUAGUAAUCAAAAUGUUGUCAAACAAUAUACCAUCUUGCAUGGUCCAGAUCUCAAUUCCGAUGGCGGCAAUGGGCUCAAAGUUGGGUUUCUCGAGCUCAAAGUAACUAGGGUUUGGAAUCUCCUGAGGCUUCCAGAUACCCUUGUAACUGGGGUUAUCGAUGAGUGGUGCGUGCCAUUUUCCCUUGUAAGCUGGAUUCCUCUUCAUUGGCCUCUUCCAUUCACCACAACCAGGGGCAGUCACACACUUGGGAUUGUCAAUCUUUGGGGCCUCCCACUCACCAUCCUCCUCGUCAUCCCAAUCCUCUGGCUUUGUGGCUUCAGGAUCCUCUACCUCCUCAGGUUCAUCAUCCAACCAUCCUUCAGGUUUCUCUGCUUCCUCAUCUUCAAUUUCCAUGGGUGCAUCCUCAUCCCAAUCAUCAGGUUUAACUGCAUUAGGAUCCGGAAUUUUGGCUCUCUCAUCCCAAUCCUCAGGCUUCUUAUCUUCUGGAUCAGGAAUUGUCUUGGUAGGGAUAAGUGGAGGCAUAAAAUCAUCAGCUGAUAAGAAGUUGGCCUUCUUCUUCUCCUCCCCGUCGACCAGAAUUAUCAACUCGUUAUCAGGUUUGAUGAUGGCAGUGUACACAUGAGAAAGUUUGUCAGCUGGAACAGAGGGUGGGGUGGUAAGAUG